GCUACUUGAAGAAAGGUGGUCCUUCCUGUGGUUGCUUGAUUUGUAAUGAACGUAUAAGACUAAGCUCUCUCUGAGGAGC
rnacentral:pre_miRNA from 15 species